CCGGGGCUAAAUCAACGCCGCACACGCACCGGCACAUGUGUCUGGGUGCCUCGCUUGGCUACGCCGGGUGGGGUUGAUACAUGGGGCGCGUGGAGGACUAAC
rnacentral:sRNA from 1 species